rnacentral:rRNA from 1 species
AAAGAUUAAGCCAUGCAUGUCUAAGUAUAAGCAAUUAUACAGUGAAACUGCGAAUGGCUCAUUAAAUCAGUUAUCGUUUAUUUGAUAGUACCUUUACUACUUGGAUAACCGUGGUAAUUCUAGAGCUAAUACAUGCUAAAAAUCCCGACUGUUUGGAAGGGAGUAUUUAUUAGAUAAAAAAUCAAUGCUCUCGUAGCUCUUUGAUGAUUCAUAAUAACUUUUCGAAUCGCAUGGCUUUGUGCCGGCGAUGGUUCAUUCAAAUUUCUGCCCUAUCAACUUUCGAUGGUAGGAUAGUGGCCUACCAUGGUUUCAACGGGUAACGGGGAAUAAGGGUUCGAUUCCGGAGAGGGAGCCUGAGAAACGGCUACCACAUCCAAGGAAGGCAGCAGGCGCGCAAAUUACCCAAUCCCGACACGGGGAGGUAGUGACAAUAAAUAACGAUACAGGGCCCAUUUGGGUCUUGUAAUUGGAAUGAGUACAAUUUAAAUACCUUAACGAGGAACAAUUGGAGGGCAAGUCUGGUGCCAGCAGCCGCGGUAAUUCCAGCUCCAAAAGCGUAUAUUAAAGUUGUUGCAGUUAAAAAGCUCGUAGUUGAACCUUGGGCUUGGUUGACUGGUCCGCUUUUUGGCGAGUACUGACUCAACCGAGCCUUUCCUUCUGGCUACUCUUCUCUUUCGGGAGUUGAUGAACCAGGACUUUUACUUUGAAAAAAUUAGAGUGUUCAAAGCAGGCCUUUGCUCGAAUAUAUUAGCAUGGAAUAAUAGAAUAGGACGUUAUGGUUCUAUUUUGUUGGUUUCUAGGACCAUCGUAAUGAUUAAUAGGGACGGUCGGGGGCAUCAGUAUUCAAUUGUCAGAGGUGAAAUUCUUGGAUUUAUUGAAGACUAACUACUGCGAAAGCAUUUGCCAAGGACGUUUUCAUUAAUCAGAACGAAAGUUAGGGGAUCGAAGAUGAUCAGAUACCGUCGUAGUCUUAACCAUAAACUAUGCCGACUAGGGAUC